GACGAACGCUGGCGGCGUGCCUAAUACGUGCAAGUUGAGCGCUGAAGGUUGGUCCUUGUACCAACUGGAUGAGCAGCGAACGGGUGAGUAACGCGUGGGGAAUCUGCCUUUGAGCGGGGGACAACAUUUGGAAACGAAUGCUAAUACCGCAUAAAAACUUUAAACACAAGUUUUAAGUUUGAAAGAUGCAAUUGCAUCACUCAAAGAUGAUCCCGCGUUGUAUUAGCUAGUUGGUGAGGUAAAGGCUCACCAAGGCGAUGAUACAUAGCCGACCUGAGAGGGUGAUCGGCCACAUUGGGACUGAGACACGGCCCAAACUCCUACGGGAGGCAGCAGUAGGGAAUCUUCGGCAAUGGACGAAAGUCUGACCGAGCAACGCCGCGUGAGUGAAGAAGGUUUUCGGAUCGUAAAACUCUGUUGGUAGAGAAGAACGUUGGUGAGAGUGGAAAGCUCAUCAAGUGACGGUAACUACCCAGAAAGGGACGGCUAACUACGUG
rnacentral:rRNA from 1 species